CUCUUUUUCUCAUCGGACACGACGAUUCUCAAACAUAAUCGUCUCUUGAGAUUAAAGGUAGUGUUGUUUACAACGAGAAGGAAAUCAGUAUGUAGAUAUUUGUGAUUGUUUUUGGAAUCAUUAUUUGUAAUUGAAGAUCAUAGAAUUUGAAGUAGGAUCUAUUCGUGAAAUCCUAGGGUUUUAUCCGGGAAAGGAGAUGAUAUUAGAUAUGAUGAAUUACAAGUUGUUCAAGUCCAGCUAAAGUAGAUUACCUAGCCAUUUUAGCCAUUCCAAAACCAAACAGAACUAUUAGCUUGCGCUCUAGCAAAUUUUGCUAUAGUCUCCUAUGUGGUUUGUGCACAUAGGUACAUUUCCAUGAAUUGAAUUAACUUAAAAUA